AGAGUUUGAUCCUGGCUCAGGAUGAACGCUAGCGGCAGGCUUAACACAUGUAAGUCGAGGGGCAGCAUAAUGGAUAGCAAUAUCUAUGGUGGCGACCGGCGCACGGGUGCGUAACGCGUAUGCAACCUACCUUUAACAGGGGGAUAACACUGAGAAAUUGGUACUAAUACCCCAUAAUAUCAUAGAAGGCAUCUUUUAUGGUUGAAAAUUCCGAUGGUUAGAGAUGGGCAUGCGUUGUAUUAGCUAGUUGGUGGGGUAACGGCUCACCAGGCGACGAUACAUAGGGGGACUGAGAGGUUAACCCCCCANACUGGUACUGAGACACGGACCAGACUCCUACGGGAGGCA
rnacentral:rRNA from 1 species